AUAUCUUUAGUGGUUGACCUCGAAUCAGGUAGGAAUACCCGCUGAACUUAA
rnacentral:rRNA from 1 species